rnacentral:rRNA from 1 species
GACGAACGCUGGCGGCGUGCUUAACACAUGCAAGUCGAACGGAAAGGCCCUGCUUUUGUGGGGUGCUCGAGUGGCGAACGGGUGAGUAACACGUGAGUAACCUGCCCUUGACUUUGGGAUAAAUUCAGGAAACUGGGGCUAAUACCGGAUAGGAGCUCCUGCUGCAUGGUGGGGGUUGGAAAGUUUCGGCGGUUGGGGAUGGACUCGCGGCUUAUCAGCUUGUUGGUGGGGUAGUGGCUUACCAAGGCUUUGACGGGUAGCCGGCCUGAGAGGGUGACCGGCCACAUUGGGACUGAGGUACGGCCCAGACGCCUACGGGAGGCAGCAGUGGGGAGUAUUGCACAAUGGGCGGAAGCCUGAUGCAGCAACGCCGCGUGCGGGAUGACGGCCUUCGGGUUGUAAACCGCUUUCGCCUGUGACGAAGCGUGAGUGACGGUAAUGAGUAAAGAAGCACCGGCUAACUACGUG